UACCAGCACCCCGAGUGGUCGGGACGAUUAUUGGGCCUAAAGCAUCCGUAGCCGGUUUUACAAGUCCUCCGUUAAAUCCAACUGCUUAACAGAUGGGCCGCGGUGGAUACUAUAAGACUAGGAGGCAGGAGAGGCAAGCGGUACUCAGUGGGUAGGGGUAAAAUCCGUUGAUCCAUUGAAGACCACCAGUGGCGAAGGCGGCUUGCCAGAAUGCGCUCGACGGUGAGGGAUGAAAGCUGGGGGAGCAAACCGG
rnacentral:rRNA from 1 species